GCUGGCGCCAGACCUAACACAUACAAGUCGAGCGCCAUCGGAAAGUAGCUUGCUACUUGGCCGGCGAGCGGCGGACGGGUGAGUAAUGUCUGGGAAACUGCCUGAUGGAGGGGGAUAACUACUGGAAACGGUAGCUAAUACCGCAUAAUGUCGCAAGACCAAAGAGGGGGACCUUCGGGCCUCUUGCCAUCAGAUGUGCCCAGAUGGGAUUAGCUAGUAGGUGGGGUAACGGCUCACCUAGGCGACGAUCCCUAGCUGGUCUGAGAGGAUGACCAGCCACACUGGAACUGAGACACGGUCCAGACUCCUACGGGAGGCAGCAGUGGGGAAUAUUGCACAAUGGGCGCAAGCCUGAUGCAGCCAUGCCGCGUGUAUGAAGAAGGCCUUCGGGUUGUAAAGUACUUUCAGCGGGGAGGAAGGUGUUGAGGUUAAUAACCUCAGCAAUUGACGUUACCCGCAGAAGAAGCACCGGCUAACUCCGUGCCAGCAGCCGCGGUAAUACGGAGGGUGCAAGCGUUAAUCGGAAUUACUGGGCGUAAAGCGCACGCAGGCGGUCUGUCAAGUCGGAUGUGAAAUCCCCGGGCUCAACCUGGGAACUGCAUUCGAAACUGGCAGGCUAGAGUCUUGUAGAGGGGGGUAGAAUUCCAGGUGUAGCGGUGAAAUGCGUAGAGAUCUGGAGGAAUACCGGUGGCGAAGGCGGCCCCCUGGACAAAGACUGACGCUCAGGUGCGAAAGCGUGGGGAGCAAACAGGAUUAGAUACCCUGGUAGUCCACGCCGUAAACGAUGUCGACUUGGAGGUUGUGCCCUUGAGGCGUGGCUUCCGGAGCUAACGCGUUAAGUCGACCGCCUGGGGAGUACGGCCGCAAGGUUAAAACUCAAAUGAAUUGACGGGGGCCCGCACAAGCGGUGGAGCAUGUGGUUUAAUUCGAUGCAACGCGAAGAACCUUACCUACUCUUGACAUCCAGAGAACUUUCCAGAGAUGGAUUGGUGCCUUCGGGAACUCUGAGACAGGUGCUGCAUGGCUGUCGUCAGCUCGUGUUGUGAAAUGUUGGGUUAAGUCCCGCAACGAGCGCAACCCUUAUCCUUUGUUGCCAGCGGUCCGGCCGGGAACUCAAAGGAGACUGCCAGUGAUAAACUGGAGGAAGGUGGGGAUGACGUCAAGUCAUCAUGGCCCUUACGAGUAGGGCUACACACGUGCUACAAUGGCGCAUACAAAGAGAAGCGACCUCGCGAGAGCAAGCGGACCUCAUAAAGUGCGUCGUAGUCCGGAUUGGAGUCUGCAACUCGACUCCAUGAAGUCGGAAUCGCUAGUAAUCGUAGAUCAGAAUGCUACGGUGAAUACGUUCCCGGGCCUUGUACACACCGCCCGUCACACCAUGGGAGUGGGUUGCAAAAGAAGUAGGUAGCUUAACCUUCGGGAGGGCGCUUACCACUUUGUGAUUCAUGACUGGGGUGAAGUCGUAACAAGG
rnacentral:rRNA from 1 species